rnacentral:rRNA from 1 species
UUAAGCGACUAAGCGUACACGGUGGAUGCCCUGGCAGUCAGAGGCGAUGAAGGACGUGCUAAUCUGCGAAAAGCGUCGGUAAGGUGAUAUGAACCGUUACAGCCGGCGAUGUCCGAAUGGGGAAACCCAGUGUGAUUCGUCACACUAUCGUUAACUGAAUACAUAGGUUAACGAGGCGAACCGGGGGAACUGAAACAUCUAAGUACCCCGAGGAAAAGAAAUCAACCGAGAUUCCCCCAGUAGCGGCGAGCGAACGGGGAGCAGCCCAGAGUCUGAAUCAGCUUGUGUGUUAGUGGAACGGUCUGGAAAGUCCGACGGUACAGGGUGAUAGUCCCGUACACCAAAAUGCACAGGCUGUGAACUCGAAGAGUAGGGCGGGACACGUGGUAUCCUGUCUGAAUAUGGGGGGGCCAUCCUCCAAGGCUAAAUACUCCUGACUGACCGAUAGUGAACCAGUACCGUGAGGGAAAGGCGAAAAGAACCCCGGCGAGGGGAGUGAAAAAGAACCUGAAACCGUGUACGUACAAGCAGUGGGAGCACCUUCGGGUGUGACUGCGUACCUUUUGUAUAAUGGGUCAGCGACUUAUAUUCUGUAGCAAGGUUAACCGUAUAGGGGAGCCGCAGGGAAACCGAGUCUUAACUGGGCGUUAAGUUGCAGGGUAUAGACCCGAAACCCGGUGAUCUAGCCAUGGGCAGGUUGAAGGUUGGGUAACACUAACUGGAGGACCGAACCGACUAAUGUUGAAAAAUUAGCGGAUGACUUGUGGCUGGGGGUGAAAGGCCAAUCAAACCGGGAGAUAGCUGGUUCUCCCCGAAAGCUAUUUAGGUAGCGCCUCGUGAAUUCAUCUUCGGGGGUAGAGCACUGUUUCGGCUAGGGGGUCAUCCCGACUUACCAACCCGAUGCAAACUACGAAUACCGAAGAAUGUUAUCACGGGAGACACACGGCGGGUGCUAACGUCCGUCGUGAAGAGGGAAACAACCCAGACCGCCAGCUAAGGUCCCAAAGUCACAGUUAAGUGGGAAACGAUGUGGGAAGGCACAGACAGCCAGGAUGUUGGCUUAGAAGCAGCCAUCAUUUAAAGAAAGCGUAAUAGCUCACUGGUCGAGUCGGCCUGCGCGGAAGAUGUAACGGGGCUAAACUGUGCACCGAAGCUGCGGCAGCGACACUAUGUGUUGUUGGGUAGGGGAGCGUUCUGUAAGCCUGCGAAGGUGGCCUGUGAGGGUUGCUGGAGGUAUCAGAAGUGCGAAUGCUGACAUAAGUAACGAUAAUGCGGGUGAAAAGCCCGCACGCCGGAAGACCAAGGGUUCCUGUCCAACGUUAAUCGGGGCAGGGUGAGUCGACCCCUAAGGCGAGGCCGAAAGGCGUAGUCGAUGGGAAACAGGUUAAUAUUCCUGUACUUGGUGUUACUGCGAAGGGGGGACGGAGAAGGCUAUGUUAGCCGGGCGACGGUUGUCCCGGUUUAAGCAUGUAGGCGGAGGUUCCAGGUAAAUCCGGUACCUUUUUAACGCUGAGGUGUGAUGACGAGGCACUACGGUGCUGAAGUAACAAAUGCCCUGCUUCCAGGAAAAGCCUCUAAGCAUCAGGUAACAUUGAAUCGUACCCCAAACCGACACAGGUGGUCAGGUAGAGAAUACCAAGGCGCUUGAGAGAACUCGGGUGAAGGAACUAGGCAAAAUGGUGCCGUAACUUCGGGAGAAGGCACGCUGAUAUGUAGGUGAAGCCCCUGCGGGUGGAGCUGAAAUCAGUCGAAGAUACCAGCUGGCUGCAACUGUUUAUUAAAAACACAGCACUGUGCAAACACGAAAGUGGACGUAUACGGUGUGACGCCUGCCCGGUGCCGGAAGGUUAAUUGAUGGGGUUAUCCGUAAGGAGAAGCUCUUGAUCGAAGCCCCGGUAAACGGCGGCCGUAACUAUAACGGUCCUAAGGUAGCGAAAUUCCUUGUCGGGUAAGUUCCGACCUGCACGAAUGGCGUAAUGAUGGCCAGGCUGUCUCCACCCGAGACUCAGUGAAAUUGAACUCGCUGUGAAGAUGCAGUGUACCCGCGGCAAGACGGAAAGACCCCGUGAACCUUUACUAUAGCUUGACACUGAACAUUGAGCCUUGAUGUGUAGGAUAGGUGGGAGGCUUUGAAGCGUGGACGCCAGUCUGCGUGGAGCCAACCUUGAAAUACCACCCUUUAAUGUUUGAUGUUCUAACGUUGGCCCCUUAUCGGGGUUGCGGACAGUGUCUGGUGGGUAGUUUGACUGGGGCGGUCUCCUCCCAAAGAGUAACGGAGGAGCACGAAGGUUAGCUAAUCCUGGUCGGACAUCAGGAGGUUAGUGCAAUGGCAUAAGCUAGCUUGACUGCGAGCGUGACGGCGCGAGCAGGUGCGAAAGCAGGUCAUAGUGAUCCGGUGGUUCUGAAUGGAAGGGCCAUCGCUCAACGGAUAAAAGGUACUCCGGGGAUAACAGGCUGAUACCGCC